CUGUGUCCUUAACUGUCCCUUCCCAUUUCUCUCAUUUCUACUAGUUCAAAUAUUUGCUUGGCCAGGCUCCCAUAUUGCCAGCCAGAUCACUCAAGUUCAGUGUUUUCCUCAGUAUUUUUCCCUUCUUGAAAUCAUCCUAGCAUUGCAGAGACACCAGCUCCAGUCAUUGUAGUCACCUCUUCCUUAAGUAUGUCUGUCUGGUCGCUUUGUUUGCUGUUUGUUUUGUUUUCUUUUAAGACUCUCUUGCCUCGUUCUCUACAUUACUUCCAAGUUGAUCUCUUUCUAUGACUUUAGUUAUCACCUAUAUGCAGAUACUCCAAAUUUUUGUCUCCUGAGAUUUCCUCCUAAAUCCUAGUUGCUAAUAAUUGCUAACACUCUGCUCUCUCACAUCUUGGCUCUUUCUCCCAAACCUGCUCUUCCUCUCACUUUUCCUUCAGCAGAUGGCUUUACAGUUGCCCUUGCCUAAGCCAAAACCAGUCAGCUCACUCUUACCGAUCCCCUCCCUUCAGUGCUGUCAGGGUAGAUAGAAGACAAACUUCUGUUCAUCUUGCAGAACUUGUCCUACAUAUCAUGUAAGAUGUUUCAGGGGUCUCGUCUAGGCCAGGUAUCCACCUACAUGUACUGAACACCCUGUCCUUUUUACUUAGCAUUUCUUACUGUGUUUUGGUCAUUGCUAGACUGAACCAGAGAAGUCUAAUCCAUUGAUUCAUCUCUAGUGAAUAGUAGGAUGCCUGGCAUUUGAACAAAUGUUUGGGCAAAUAAAUACUUGUGUGUUUCGUUUUGUUUUGUUUUAUGAAACCUUCACAGUCUUCAUUUGACCAUCACAGACAUCCUGCCUGUUCACUGAAUAGUUCUUAGCCAUGUAUUUCAAAUUAAGAAAUGAAACUCACCUUAUUCGUGACUAGGAAUCUCAUUGUUGUGUUUCUUGAAUUUAGUGCAGUGCUUAGCAUGUGGUUCAAAUAUUAUGUGAAUGUUGUUAAGAAAAUAGAUUGUAAUUUACCCUAGUAAACUAUAGUAAUGUCAGGAUUCAAACCUAGGUGUCCUCACGAAUCUACUCGCUAGUGUUAAGUACAUUCAUAAUAUAGUCUUUAUUUUAAUUUCCAAAGGAACCCACAUACAGAGGGAAGACAUUGGAUAACUGCUUAGAUGGAACUGAAUUCAGUAAUCUGAAAAUUACCUUCAUUCAGUAUUAGAGAAAGACAAUCCUGCAAAGAGUUAAUGUCCAUUUUUCCUUUUGUAGGCGUCAACCCUAGGAGAAAGUGGCAUGCUAUUUAGUAGUUACUUUCCUUUACAGAUGAUUUCUGGCUCUUCUGGAAUUUAAAAGUAAGUAAACUUGUUUCUGAGAAAGCUGUCUUAGCCCUUCUGACUACAAGGUCCCCGGCUCAUUUACUUUACCAUGUGGAAUUCCCACAUCAUUUCCCAAAGAGAAAAGCCCCAGAUGACGUGAGUUAACAUUUAGAUUUGCUGUAUUUUCUCCCUUUCUUGUUUCAUGCCUC
rnacentral:lncRNA from 1 species